rnacentral:misc_RNA from 1 species
GAUGAAGAACGUAGCGAAAUGCGAUAAGUAAUGUGAAUUGCAGAAUUCAGUGAAUCAUCGAAUCUUUGAACGCACAUUGCGCCCGCCAGCAUUCUGGCGGGCAUGCCUGUUCGAGCGUCAUUUCAACCCUCAAGCUCUGCUUGGUGUUGGGGCCCUACGGUUGACGUAGGCCCUUAAAGGUAGUGGUGGACCCUCUCGGAGCCUCCUUUGCGUAGUAACUAACGUCUCGCAUUGGGAUUCGGAGGGACUCUUGCCGUAAAACCCCCAAAUUUUCUAAUGGUUGACCUCGGAUCAGGUAGGAAUACCCGCUGAACUUAAGCAUAUCAAUAAGCGGAGGA